AGUGAACGCUGGCGGUAGGCCUAACACAUGCAAGUCGAACGGCAGCACAGUAAGAGCUUGCUCUUACGGGUGGCGAGUGGCGGACGGGUGAGGAAUACAUCGGAAUCUACUUUUUCGUGGGGGAUAACGUAGGGAAACUUACGCUAAUACCGCAUACGACCUACGGGUGAAAGCAGGGGAUCUUCGGACCUUGCGCGAUUGAAUGAGCCGAUGUCGGAUUAGCUAGGUGGCGGGGUAAAGGCCCACCAAGGCGACGAUCCGUAGCUGGUCUGAGAGGAUGAUCAGCCACACUGGAACUGAGACACGGUACAGACUCCUACGGGAGGCAGCAGUGGGGAAUAUUGGACAAUGGGGGCGAGCCUGAUCCAGCCAUACCGCGUGGGUGAAGAAGGCCUUCGGGUGGUAAAGCCAUGUUGUUGUGAAAGAAAAGCAGCAGGUUAAUACCCGGCGGCUCUGACGGUACCCAAAGAAUAAGCACCGGCUAACUUCGUG
rnacentral:rRNA from 1 species